rnacentral:lncRNA from 1 species
AAUGAUAGAUAAAUUCCCAUGUACAUAAAUACAACCCAAAUGGUUCCCAUGGAGUACCAUGGACGUGAGGGAUGCUAAUACCUUCCCCUCGUGUAACCGACUUCGUAACCCUAAUAUCGGUUGCGAGACCGAUACCCUAUCCUUUUCCUUGGCGCUUCCCAUGUGCCUACCCUUUUGAGGGUUUUAUCGAUUAUUUCCCCUCGCCUU